AGUUAGCUUUGGCGUCAUGGCAGGGGCGUCGCACCCGUGGGGGAUGUGGGUGUUUUAACACCCACACUUUUCCCGGUGAGAGGGUUCAACACCCACACUUUUUCUGCAGUUUUUCCACAGUUUUGCACAAACGCCUUGCGUCGAACUGCCGCCGUAGCUACG